CCGGCCACCGCCGCUGCCAAUGGGCUUGGAGGAAGCUCCCCCCUCCGGUCCUGUGGAUUGUUAGAGGGCGAGAGAACCUCGCUGGGGAGGCUGCUCUGAGGGGGGGGGGCUCGUGACAGGCAAAAAACGAAUGCCUGGGCUGCCAACGGAGAGCGAACGCGCCACACUAGCAAACGGAGUAGAGCUUUGCCGUCGCUCUGGCGCGCGUGGAAGUGGAAAUGUAUCAAGCCGAUGGCUGAAGCACGGCUGCAACUGCGACCGAGCAAG
rnacentral:ribozyme from 12 species